rnacentral:lncRNA from 1 species
AGCAAACUACAAAUCUGAACCUUCCUCCUGAAGAUCUUGAUUCAUCUGGUGAUGAUGAUGAUGCUUUCUCAGGCUCAGGUGCAGGUCCCCUGACAGACCAGUCUCCCACUUGGAAUAUCCCAGCAGAACCAACUAAUUCCUCAUUACUGGCAAUACCAAUGGAUUUCAAUGAACAGCUGUUUCCUGGGAUUGAGAGCCGAACUGAAAAGGAAGUAAUAUCUCCAUCUGCAACUAGUAGUGUAGUGACAGAGGAGCCAGUUGUAGCUGUGAAGGAUGAAAGACCCAACCUGGACUCACCUCCUGAGAAAUCAACAAAUGACACUGUUACAACAACGAGAAGCCUCACUACUCACUUUCCUUUCAUGGUUCAUGUAACUCCUUCAGAAGCCUCAAGCACAGUCCAUGGCCUGGAACCUAAUACCCCUGGCUCUGAUGUGCUGGACACUAAAGAUGUGCUUGAGCCCCACUCCCCCAUCCAUCGUGAGGGAGACUUUACUGCUGCCCCCACAACGAUGGCUCCUGAGGAUGCAGUUCUUGUACAUGAGGAGGUUUCUGAAGAUGGCUCUGGAGAUCCAGGAGAUUUCGUCUUGAUUAAAGAUGAGGAUUUGGUCCCCACCCAGAACUCUGAAGUGCCAGCUGACUCUGGGAGGAAUGCCAAAGCAGCAGGAGCCUCAGGAAUAAUGGACAGAAAAGAAGUUCUUGGAGGUACCUGAUAUUCUAGAUUUCUGGUCAAUAAAGGCAGACUCUUGUAGGAGUCUUUCCA